CCUACGGGAGGCUGCAGUGGGGAAUAUUGCACAAUGGGGGAAACCCUGAUGCAGCAACGCCGCGUGGGUGAAGGAGCGUUUCGGCGCGUAAAGCCCUGUCAGCGGGGAAGAAGAAAGACGGUACCCGACCAAGAAGCCCCGGCUAACUACGUGCCAGCAGCCUCGGUAAUACGUAGGGGGCGAGCGUUAUCCGGAUUUACUGGGUGUAAAGGGAGCGUAGACGGCAGCACAAGUCUGGAGUGAAAUGCCGGGGCUCAACCCCGGAACUGCUUUGGAAACUGGGCAGCUAGAGUGCAGGAGAGGUAAGUGGAAUUCCUGGUGUAGCGGUGAAAUGCGUAGAUAUUAGGAGGAACACCAGUGGCGAAGGCGGCUUACUGGACUGUAACUGACGUUGAGGCUCGAAAGCGUGGGGAGCAAACAGGAUUAGAUACCCGUGUAGUC
rnacentral:rRNA from 1 species